GACGAACGCUGGAGGCGUGCUUAACACAUGCAAGUCGAACGAUGAAAUGGAGCUUGCUCCAUGGAUUAGUGGCGAACGGGUGAGUAACACGAGAAUAACCUGCCCUUAAUUUUGGAAUAACCCAGGGAAACCUGGGCUAAUACCGGAUAAGUAAACCUGUGGCAUCACAUGGUUUUGGAAAGUUUUUCGAUUAAGGAUGGAUUCGCGGCCCAUCAGCUUGUUGGUGAGGUAAUGGCUCACCAAGGCGACGACGGGUAGCCGGCCUGAGAGGGUGAACGGCCACACUGGGACUGAGACACGGCCCAGACUCCUACGGGAGGCAGCAGUGGGGAAUAUUGCGCAAUGGACGAAAGUCUGACGCAGCGACGCCUCGUGAGGGACGGAGGUCUUCGGAUUGUAAACCUCUUUCAGCAGGGACGAAGCGAAAGUGACGGUACCUGCAGAAGAAGCACCGGCUAACUAUGUGCCAGCCGCCGCCGUAA
rnacentral:rRNA from 1 species